rnacentral:rRNA from 1 species
AGAGUUUGAUCAUGGCUCAGAUUGAACGCUGGCGGCAGGCCUAACACAUGCAAGUCGAACGGUAACAGGAANGCUGACGAGUGGCGGACGGGUGAGUAAUGUCUGGGAAACUGCCUGAUGGAGGGGGAUAACUACUGGAAACGGUAGCUAAUACCGCAUAACGUCGCAAGACCAAAGAGGGGGACCUUCGGGCCUCUUGCCAUCGGAUGUGCCCAGAUGGGAUUAGCUUGUUGGUGGGGUAACGGCUCACCAAGGCGACGAUCCCUAGCUGGUCUGAGAGGAUGACCAGCCACACUGGAACUGAGACACGGUCCAGACUCCUACGGGAGGCAGCAGUGGGGAAUAUUGCACAAUGGGCGCAAGCCUGAUGCAGCCAUGCCGCGUGUAUGAAGAAGGCCUUCGGGUUGUAAAGUACUUUCAGCGGGGAGGAAGGGAGUAAAGUUAAUACCUUUGCUCAUUGACGUUACCCGCAGAAGAAGCACCGGCUAACUCCGUGCCAGCAGCCGCGGUAAUACGGAGGGUGCAAGCGUUAAUCGGAAUUACUGGGCGUAAAGCGCACGCAGGCGGUUUGUUAAGUCAGAUGUGAAAUCCCCGGGCUCAACCUGGGAACUGCAUCUGAUACUGGCAAGCUUGAGUCUCGUAGAGGGGGGUAGAAUUCCAGGUGUAGCGGUGAAAUGCGUAGAGAUCUGGAGGAAUACCGGUGGCGAAGGCGGCCCCCUGGACGAAGACUGACGCUCAGGUGCGAAAGCGUGGGGAGCAAACAGGAUUAGAUACCCUGGUAGUCCACGCCGUAAACGAUGUCGACUUGGAGGUUGUGCCCUUGAGGCGUGGCUUCCGGAGCUAACGCGUUAAGUCGACCGCCUGGGGAGUACGGCCGCAAGGUUAAAACUCAAAUGAAUUGACGGGGGCCCGCACAAGCGGUGGAGCAUGUGGUUUAAUUCGAUGCAACGCGAAGAACCUUACCUGGUCUUGACAUCCACGGAAGUUUUCAGAGAUGAGAAUGUGCCUUCGGGAACCGUGAGACAGGUGCUGCAUGGCUGUCGUCAGCUCGUGUUGUGAAAUGUUGGGUUAAGUCCCGCAACGAGCGCAACCCUUAUCCUUUGUUGCCAGCGGUCCGGCCGGGAACUCAAAGGAGACUGCCAGUGAUAAACUGGAGGAAGGUGGGGAUGACGUCAAGUCAUCAUGGCCCUUACGACCAGGGCUACACACGUGCUACAAUGGCGCAUACAAAGAGAAGCGACCUCGCGAGAGCAAGCGGACCUCAUAAAGUGCGUCGUAGUCCGGAUUGGAGUCUGCAACUCGACUCCAUGAAGUCGGAAUCGCUAGUAAUCGUGGAUCAGAAUGCCACGGUGAAUACGUUCCCGGGCCUUGUACACACCGCCCGUCACACCAUGGGAGUGGGUUGCAAAAGAAGUAGGUAGCUUAACCUUCGGGAGGGCGCUUACCACUUUGUGAUUCAUGACUGGGGUGAAGUCGUAACAAGGUAACCGUAGGGGAACCUGCGGUUGGAUCACCU